GCCCAACAGCUAGCCCACCCAAGCAAACUCAACAAACCCCUGUUAAUAACCCCAAAUACCCUAGUAUUUAAAUUAAACAAACCAUUUUUCCCCCUUAGUAUAGGCGAUAGAAAAGGACAAACGGCGCAAUAGAGAAAGUACCGCAAGGGAACGCUGAAAGAGAAGUGAAACAACCCAGUGAAGCCUAAAAAAGCAGAGAUUAAAACUCGUACCUUUUGCAUCAUGAUUUAGCAAGUGUACCUCAAGCAAAGCGAACUUUAGUUUGACGUCCCGAAACUACGUGAGCUACUCCAAGACAGCCUAUUAAUAGGGCACACCCGUCUCUGUAGCAAAAGAGUGGAGAGAGCUUUGAGUAGAGGUGACAAACCUACCGAACCUAGUUAUAGCUGGUUGUCCAAGAAAUGAAUAGAAGUUCAGCCUCUUAGCUUCUCUUUUCACACUAGUUUAACCCCUAAUUGAUACCUUAAAGAAACCAAGAGAGUUAGUCAAAGGGGGUACAGCCCCUUUGAACCAAGACACAACUUUAUUAGGCGGGU
rnacentral:rRNA from 1 species